rnacentral:rRNA from 1 species
CCUACGGGAUGCCGCAGUGAGGAAUAUUGGUCAAUGGACGCAAGUCUGAACCAGCCAUGCCGCGUGCAGGAAGACGGCUCUAUGAGUUGUAGACUGCUCUUGUACGAGGGUAAACGCAGAUACGCGUAUCUGUCUGAAAGUAUCGUACGAUUAAGGAUCGGCUAACUCCGUUCCAGCCGCCGCGGUAAUACGGAGGAUUCAAGCGUUCUCCGGAUGUUUUGGGUUUAAGGGGUGCGUCGGCGGUCGGAUAAGUUAGAGGUGAAAUCCCGAGGCUCAACUUCGGAAUUGCCUCUGAUACUGUUCGGCUAGAGAGUAGUUGCGGUAGGCGGAAUGUAUGGUGUAGCGGGGAAAUGCUUAGAGAUCAUACAGAACACCGAUUGCGAAGGCAGCUUACCAAGCUACUUCUGACGUUGAGGCACGAAAGCGUGGGGAGCAAACAGGAUUAGAUACCCGAGUAGUC